rnacentral:rRNA from 1 species
AUUGAACGCUGGCGGCAGGCCUAACACAUGCAAGUCGAACGGUAACAGGAAGAAGCUUGCUUCUUUGCUGACGAGUGGCGGACGGGUGAGUAAUGUCUGGGAAACUGCCUGAUGGAGGGGGAUAACUACUGGAAACGGUAGCUAAUACCGCAUAACGUCGCAAGACCAAAGAGGAGGACCUUCGGGCCUCUUGCCAUCGGAUGUGCCCAGAUGGGAUUAGCUAGUAGGUGGGGUAACGGCUCACCUAGGCGACGAUCCCUAGCUGGUCUGAGAGGAUGACCAGCCACACUGGAACUGAGACACGGUCCAGACUCCUACGGGAGGCAGCAGUGGGGAAUAUUGCACAAUGGGCGAAAGCCUGAUGCAGCCAUGCCGCGUGUAUGAAGAAGGCCUUCGGGUUGUAAAGUACUUUCAGCGGGGAGGAAGGGAGUAAAGUUAAUACCUUUGCUCAUUGACGUUACCCGCAGAAGAAGCACCGGCUAACUCCGUG